rnacentral:lncRNA from 1 species
AUGGGUGUGGUAGUAGAUGUUCUAGGUUUUGCAGUUUGACAGGAAAGUAAGUUUUCAAAAUAGGACUGUCAUGCAAGAGAACUAGAACAUAAUUAAAUAAACAAGCCAGGAAAAGUAGAAACCUUAUUACCUGUCGUGAAGUAGACGACCAGAAUGUAUGCUCGUGGGCUGGGGUGACGAUCGGUGCGCGGUUGCAUCUGAUGGACCCUUUCAAUUGGUUCCAACUUGGAUCUGAUCAUAGCACCUUGGCGAGUCUGCUGGGCUUGCAAAAUGGAGGGGAGUGGACCUGUUGGAGUUUGUGAGAUGGGAUUAGGCCUCUGUACCUGCUGGCUUGGGCCCGUGAGGCAGUGGGGUGGCCCGACACUUGGGCCCCAAAGGGGCCUGUCUGGAGGGAUGGGGGUGCUCAGGUGAGACUUUUUGUUUUUGGUGGGAUGUUA